rnacentral:rRNA from 1 species
UGGGGGAUAUUGCACAAUGGGCGCAAGCCUGAUGCAGCGACGCCGCGUGGGGGAUGAAGGCCUUCGGGUUGUAAACUUCUUUUGCUCUGAACAAGGCGCACUUUGGGGUGUGUUGAGUGUAGGGGUUGAUUAGCGCCGGCUAACUACGUGCCAGCAGCCGCGGUAAUACGUAGGGCGCGAGCGUUGUCCGGAAUUAUUGGGCGUAAAGGGCUUGUAGGUGGCUGGUUGCGUCUGUCGUGAAAGCUCAUGGCUUAACUGUGGGUUUGCGGUGGGUACGGGCUGGCUUGAGUGCAGUAGGGGAGGCUGGAAUUCCUGGUGUAGCGGUGGAAUGCGCAGAUAUCAGGAGGAAUACCGGUGGCGAAGGCGGGUCUCUGGGCUGUUACUGACACUGAGGAGCGAAAGCAUGGGGAGCGAACAGA